UAAUUUACAAUUUUGGUCCUUAUGAUUUUUAAUGUAAUUAUCAGUGGCUUGUUUACAACUAUCUUGGAGAGGGGUGAUGAAAUGACUUUUCUUUGAUCCAAAGUCUACUGCCAAAGUUUAUGUAAGUUAUUUCUCAUUUAUUUGAUAUAAAAGAGAACUCUAUUUUUUUUGUAAAAGAUUGUUGGAUCAGACUCUAUUUACAUGAAUAUAAACUUUAGAUAAUAUGUGAAAUUGUGCUGAUAAAGAAGGGUAGUUCUAUAAUUUUCUUCAUAAUUAAAAAUCUUGUAGAUGCUCUGUAAUAGUCAACACAAAUGUUCAAAGAAUCAAAUGCUAGGAGAAAAGACAAUUUCCGAAGACCAGUAUGCAAACACGGUAUUUUCUUUCACCAACAUAUAUUACCAUUUACUUUUUGGUCGGAAUGGGAAUUGAAUUCCAUUCCGGUCCAACACUUGGUUUCAAAUGCUUCCAACAAAGUCUCCUUCCAUUGCAGGAAUAAGUAAGUG
rnacentral:lncRNA from 1 species